UUUUUCUGUAGUAUUGUAUACUGUAGUAGGCCUGCAGUGCAUUGUGGGCUGUAUCAUGUACUAUAAACACAUUGUAUGGCUUUGAACACGGGGCUUUCUGUGGUGAUUGUGUUUUGCUUGUUCUCCCCUUUCCCUUCGGUGUUCUCCUGUGUGUUUGUGUGUGGCUGGCUGGUGGUUGUGUAGCAGUAUAGAGCUGCCACCCUUUGGGCAAUUAACGCCAGGUGGCUGCAAUUAGGUGGGCCGGUUUAAAAGUGGCACGCCUCCACUAGCUCUUCCUCUUGCCCUCUAUUCUGUGAGGUGCGUCAGUUCCGGGCGACGGGACGCGUGCCGCUCUGCGCGUUAACCUCUUGGUUUACUGCAUGCUCAAAACAUCACAGCAUUGUUUAUUAAGGCUGCUCACCUCGCAUUUAUCUUUUUAUUUACAGGCCAAAGAAAAAGCCCCUCAAAGCGUUUUAACACAAAGACGGGAAAUUUGUGCAAUAGAACUAGGCAUGUUUUUGUAAAUGAGAGUAGAGUUUUUAAAAACCAUUUUAAUUCUUUAAGGGAGCAAAGAUGUCUCAUAAAAGACCUUUGCCAGGCUCAGGACAAAAGGGAAGUCUGUUAUUAUUUUUAAAGAACCAGCCAAGUCAUAAAAGACAGACCGACACUGUCAGACCAAAUUGUAGAAACAACAGGGCAACAGACAGAGGAGCAACACACAGGAGAAACUGACCAACAGUGCAGAUGGAAGAAGACCCAGAGGGACAGAGGAGACUCCCCCAAUCCAACAACCGGGCCAGAAGAGCAACAUAUAGAACCCUCUUUAAAACAAGAAGGGCUGAGGUCCAAAUGACAGCUGGGUUGGUGGUGCAUGAUAUUCCUCUAGCCUUUGCAGACCACCUGGGGCCUCUCCUUAAAGUUUGUUUUGGAGAUUCUAAGACGGCGCAGGACUACAGGUGUGCCAGGACUAAAUCAUCCUGCAUAGUUAAUGAAGCUCUGGCGCCUUAUUUCACCAAAGAGCUUGUGAAGGAGCUCAAAAACGGCGCAUGCACCCUUGUUACGGAUGGGUCAAAUGACACGGGUAUUUCCCAAACUAUUUAUCUCCUACAAAACAUUUGCUUUGUGUAAACAUCAAACAUGUACAUUUGUAUAAUUCUAACUCGUCAUUAUGGGAGCGCAAAAGAUGAACCCGCUCACUGUCUGGGUCUUCAUGGGAGGCAAAGUUGUCGACCAAUGUUUGGGCAUGUGUACAACAAGUGGGAAGGUAUGUGGAACAGCAAGCGAGAUCUUCGCCAUUAUUAAGUCCACCCUAGAGGAGCAUUGUAUCCCUUGGGAGAACUGCGUGGCUAUCAAGUCUAGAAGGCCCCACAAGUCAUGAGCAGAUGAACAUGAAUCAGAAUAAGUUCAGGCAUACCACCCAAAUCUACUGGAAUGCAUGAAAUAACAUCUACUUAAACCAACAUGUCCUGGGGGUGGACCAUCAGCUGUGUCUGCUUCACAGAAUGUAACCAAUGUUGUCCAUCUCCAGUAGGCCGCCCCUAUCAACAUUUUUGGGCCCCACAAACCACCAGAAUGCAGCGUACAACAUGGGUACUACGCCAAAUGAAUGAUCAACAAAAUGGUGGUCACCCCCGACAAGAUCUCCCAAGGUUUUUUGAAAAGUUGGCAGCUCUGUAAAUGCCAGUGUCCUAGAACAGGAGUUGUGUUGAUCAGCAGGAUGGGGU
ensembl:lncRNA